ACAAGUAAUCCCCUCACAACGGAUCGUUCGGCACGUACCUGCCGAUGAAAGGAUUAAUGA
rfam:Bifidobacterium magnum strain LMG 11591 Contig07, whole genome shotgun sequence.